rnacentral:tRNA from 4 species
GGGCUCGUAGCUCAGCGGUUAGAGCGUUGCACUCACAUUGCAAAGGUCACUGGUUCAAAUCCAGUCGAGCCCA